rnacentral:rRNA from 1 species
AAGAGGUCACACCCGUUCCCAUGCCGAACACGGAAGUUAAGCUCUUCAGCGCCGAUGGUAGUCGGGGGUUUCCCCCUGUGAGAGUAGGACAUCGCCAGGC